rnacentral:rRNA from 1 species
GACAGGGGUCUCAAGCGUUAAUCGGAAUCACUGGGCUUAAAGGGUGCGUAGGCAGGCCUGUAAGUGUCCUGUGAAAUCCCCCGGCUCAACCGGGGAACUGCGGGGCAUACUGCGGGUCUUGAGGAAGGUAGGCGCCGAGGGAACAGUAGGUGGAGCGGUGAAAUGCGUAGAUAUCGUUUGGAACGCCGAUGGUGAAAACAGGUCGCUGGGGGCUUGCUGACGCUGAGACACGAAAGCCAGGGGAGCAAACGGG